CAGAGUUUGAUCCUGGCUCAGAUUGAACGCUGGCGGCAGGCUUAACACAUGCAAGUCGAGCGGAGAGAGGUAGCUUGCUACUGAUCUUAGCGGCGGACGGGUGAGUAAUGCUUAGGAAUCUGCCUAUUAGUGGGGGACAACAUUUCGAAAGGAAUGCUAAUACCGCAUACGUCCUACGGGAGAAAGCAGGGGAUCUUCGGACCUUGCGCUAAUAGAUGAGCCUAAGUCGGAUUAGCCAGUUGGUGGGGUAAAGGCCUACCAAGGCGACGAUCUGUAGCGGGUCUGAGAGGAUGAUCCGCCACACUGGGACUGAGACACGGCCCAGACUCCUACGGGAGGCAGCAGUGGGGAAUAUUGGACAAUGGGCGGAAGCCUGAUCCAGCCAUGCCGCGUGUGUGAAGAAGGCCUUAUGGUUGUAAAGCACUUUAAGCGAGGAGGAGGCUACUUUAGUUAAUACCUAGAGAUAGUGGACGUUACUCGCAGAAUAAGCACCGGCUAACUCUGUGCCAGCAGCCGCGGUAAUACAGAGGGUGCAAGCGUUAAUCGGAUUUACUGGGCGUAAAGCGCGCGUAGGCGGCUAAUUAAGUCAAAUGUGAAAUCCCCGAGCUUAACUUGGGAAUUGCAUUCGAUACUGGUUAGCUAGAGUGUGGGAGAGGAUGGUAGAAUUCCAGGUGUAGCGGUGAAAUGCGUAGAGAUCUGGAGGAAUACCGAUGGCGAAAGCAGCCAUCUGGCCUAACACUGACGCUGAGGUGCGAAAGCAUGGGGAGCAAACAGGAUUAGAUACCCUGGUAGUCCAUGCCGUAAACGAUGUCUACUAGCCGUUGGGGCCUUUGAGGCUUUAGUGGCGCAGCUAACGCGAUAAGUAGACCGCCUGGGGAGUACGGUCGCAAGACUAAAACUCAAAUGAAUUGACGGGGGCCCGCACAAGCGGUGGAGCAUGUGGUUUAAUUCGAUGCAACGCGAAGAACCUUACCUGGCCUUGACAUAGUAAGAACUUUCCAGAGAUGGAUUGGUGCCUUCGGGAACUUACAUACAGGUGCUGCAUGGCUGUCGUCAGCUCGUGUCGUGAGAUGUUGGGUUAAGUCCCGCAACGAGCGCAACCCUUUUCCUUAUUUGCCAGCGAGUAAUGUCGGGAACUUUAAGGAUACUGCCAGUGACAAACUGGAGGAAGGCGGGGACGACGUCAAGUCAUCAUGGCCCUUACGGCCAGGGCUACACACGUGCUACAAUGGUCGGUACAAAGGGUUGCUACCUAGCGAUAGGAUGCUAAUCUCAAAAAGCCGAUCGUAGUCCGGAUUGGAGUCUGCAACUCGACUCCAUGAAGUCGGAAUCGCCAGUAAUCGCGGAUCAGAAUGCCGCGGUGAAUACGUUCCCGGGCCUUGUACACACCGCCCGUCACACCAUGGGAGUUUGUUGCACCAGAAGUAGCUAGCCUAACUGCAAAGAGGGCGGUUACCACGGUGUGGCCGAUGACUGGGGUGAAGUCGUAACAAGGUAGCCGUAGGGGAACCUGCGGCUGGAUCACCUCCU
rnacentral:rRNA from 1 species